rnacentral:rRNA from 1 species
GAUGAACGCUGGCGGCGUGCCUAACACAUGCAAGUCGAGCGACCGGACGAGAAGCUCGUUCCCCUGAUGUUAGCGGCGGACGGGUGAGUAACACGUGGAUAACCUACCUAUUAGACUGGGAUAACUUCGGGAAACCGCAGAUAAUACUGGCUCAUACUUUCAACCGCAUGGUUCAAAAGUGCAAGACGGUCUUGCCGUCACUUAUAGAUGGUUCCGCGUUGCAUUAGCUAGUUGGUAAGGUAACGGCAUACCAAGGCGACGAUGCGUAGCCGAUCUGAGAGGGUGAUCAGCCACACUGGAACUGAGACACGGUCCAGACUCCUACGGGAGGCAGCAGUGGGGAAUAUUGGGCAAUGGGCGAAAGCCUGACGGAGCCAUACCGCGUGGGUGAAGAAGGCCUUCGGGUUGUAAAGCCCUUUUGUUAGGGAAGAACAGCAGUAGGAUAAAACGUCGCUGUUCUGACGGUACCCAAUCAGAAAGCCACGGCUAACUUCGUG